ACAUUUGCAAGAGUAUCGGUAAAGUACCUUAGGCAAAGAGUUGUCUUUAAUACUCAUCAAGUUUGACCUCAAAUCAGGUAGGAUUACCCGCUGAACUUAAGCAUAUCAAUAAGCGGAGGAAAAGAAACCAACUGGGAUUACCUUAGUAACGGCGAGUGAAGCGGUAAAAGCUCAAAUUUGAAAUCUGGUACUUUCAGUGCCCGAGUUGUAAUUUGUAGAAUUUGUCUUUGAUUUGGUCCUUGUCUAUGUUCCUUGGAACAGGACGUCAUAGAGGGUGAGAAUCCCGUUUGGCGAGGAUACCAUUUCUUUGUAAGACUUUUUCGAAGAGUCGAGUUGUUUGGGAAUGCAGCUCAAAGUGGGUGGUAAAUUCCAUCUAAAGCUAAAUAUUGGCGAGAGACCGAUAGCGAACAAGUACAGUGAUGGAAAGAUGAAAAGAACUUUGAAAAGAGAGUGAAAAAGUACGUGAAAUUGUUGAAAGGGAAGGGCAUUUGAUCAGACAUGGUGUUUUUUGCAUGCACUCGCCUCUUGUGGGCUUGGGCCUCUCAAAAAUUUCACUGGGCCAACAUCAGUUUUGGCGGCAGGAUAAAUCAUUAGGAAUGUGGCUUCUUCGGGAGUGUUAUAGCCUUUUGGAAUACUGUCAGCCGGGACUGAGGACUGCGCUUUUGCAAGGAUGUUGGCAUAAUGGUUAAAUGCCGCCCGUCUUGAAACACGGACCAAGGAGUCUAACGUCUAUGCGAGUGUUUGGGUGUAAAACCCGUACGCGUAAUGAAAGUGAAUGUAGGUUGGGUUACCUUAGUAACGGCGAGUGAAGCGGUAAAAGCUCAAAUUUGAAAUCUGGUACUUUCAGUGCCCGAGUUGUAAUUUGUAGAAUUUGUCUUUGAUUUGGUCCUUGUCUAUGUUCCUUGGAACAGGACGUCAUAGAGGGUGAGAAUCCCGUUUGGCGAGGAUACCAUUUCUUUGUAAGACUUUUUCGAAGAGUCGAGUUGUUUGGGAAUGCAGCUCAAAGUGGGUGGUAAAUUCCAUCUAAAGCUAAAUAUUGGCGAGAGACCGAUAGCGAACAAGUACAGUGAUGGAAAGAUGAAAAGAACUUUGAAAAGAGAGUGAAAAAGUACGUGAAAUUGUUGAAAGGGAAGGGCAU
rnacentral:rRNA from 1 species